GGUUUGGCACCUCGAUGUCGGCUCAUCACAUCCUGGGGCUGAAUUCGGUCCCAAGGGUUCGGCUGUUCGCCGAUUAAAGUGGCACGCGAGCUGGGUUCAGAACGUCGUGAGACAGUUCGGUCCCUAUCUGUUGCGGGCGUAAGAGAUUUGAAGGGAGCUGUCCUUAGUACGAGAGGACCGGGAUGGACAGACCUCUGGUGCACCAGUUGUCCUGCCAAGGGCACAGCUGGGUAGCUACGUCUGGACGAGAUAAACGCUGAAAGCAUCUAAGCGUGAAACUCCCCCUAAGAUAAGAUCUCUCAUCCGAAAGGAGUAAGGCUCGACGUAGACUAUGUCGUAGAUAGGUCGGAGGUGGAAGCACGGUAACGUGUGCAGCUGACCGAUACUAAUAAGCCGAGGGCUUGACCUA
rnacentral:rRNA from 1 species